rnacentral:rRNA from 1 species
UCUGCUCAGGACGAACGCUGGCGGCGUGCCUAAUACAUGCAAGUCGAGCGGACAGAAGGGAGCUUGCUCCCGGAUGUUAGCGGCGGACGGGUGAGUAACACGUGGGUAACCUGCCUGUAAGACUGGGAUAACUCCGGGAAACCGGAGCUAAUACCGGAUAGUUCCUUGAACCGCAUGGUUCAAGGAUGAAAGACGGUUUCGGCUGUCACUUACAGAUGGACCCGCGGCGCAUUAGCUAGUUGGUGGGGUAAUGGCUCACCAAGGCGACGAUGCGUAGCCGACCUGAGAGGGUGAUCGGCCACACUGGGACUGAGACACGGCCCAGACUCCUACGGGAGGCAGCAGUAGGGAAUCUUCCGCAAUGGACGAAAGUCUGACGGAGCAACGCCGCGUGAGUGAUGAAGGUUUUCGGAUCGUAAAGCUCUGUUGUUAGGGAAGAACAAGUGCGAGAGUAACUGCUCGCACCUUGACGGUACCUAACCAGAAAGCCACGGCUAACUACGUGCCAGCAGCCGCGGUAAUACGUAGGUGGCAAGCGUUGUCCGGAAUUAUUGGGCGUAAAGGGCUCGCAGGCGGUUUCUUAAGUCUGAUGUGAAAGCCCCCGGCUCAACCGGGGAGGGUCAUUGGAAACUGGGAAACUUGAGUGCAGAAGAGGAGAGUGGAAUUCCACGUGUAGCGGUGAAAUGCGUAGAGAUGUGGAGGAACACCAGUGGCGAAGGCGACUCUCUGGUCUGUAACUGACGCUGAGGAGCGAAAGCGUGGGGAGCGAACAGGAUUAGAUACCCUGGUAGUCCACGCCGUAAACGAUGAGUGCUAAGUGUUAGGGGGUUUCCGCCCCUUAGUGCUGCAGCUAACGCAUUAAAGCAACUCCCCGCCC